rnacentral:tRNA from 1 species
AUUUUUAAAGGAUAAUAGUUCCAUUGGUCCAUUGGUCUUAGGAACCAAAAAUUUAGGUACAAUUCCAAAUAAAAGUA